GACGAACGCUGGCGGCGUGCUUAACACAUGCAAGUCGAACGGUGAAGCGCCUUCCUUUUUGGUGGGUGUGGAUGAGUGGCGAACGGGUGAGUAACACGUGAGUAACCUGCCCCCUUCUUCUGGAUAACCGCAUGAAAGUGUGGCUAAUACGGGAUAUUCUGGGUCUGUCGCAUGAUGGGUCUGGGAAAGAUAUUGUUUCGGUGGGGGAUGGGCUCGCGGCCUAUCAGCUUGUUGGUGGGGUGAUGGCCUACCAAGGCGGUGACGGGUAGCCGGCCUGGGAGGGUGGACGGCCAGACUGGGUCUGCGACACGGCCGAGACUGCGACGGGAGGCAGCAGUGGGGAAGAUGGCACAGUGGGCGCAAGUCUGAUGCAGCGACGCGGCGUGAGGGAUGGAGGCGUGCGGGGUGUGAACGUCUUUCGCCAGUGAAGCAGGCCUGCCUCGGAUGUGGGGGGGUUGACGGUAGCUGGAAAAGAAGCGCCGGCUAACUACGUG
rnacentral:rRNA from 1 species